UCCUUCAAAGCAAGGGUUUCGUUUCACUCUCUCUCUCUCUCUCUCUCUCUCUCUCAUCUCAGAUUGAGAGAGAGAGAGAUCAGAUAAGGAGAAAGAAGAUAGCAGAAGAUGGAAGAGUUAGGAGGGCUUUCAGACGUUUAAGGAAGAAGAGAAACUUGAGGUAGGAUUUAAUGCCUUUUUAAAAGGUGUGGCUUAAUGGCGUCAUCUACAAUAACAUCUGGGGCAUUAGUGUCGGUAGAAGAGAGAAUGGAAAGUUCUUCUGCCCAUCCUUGUGGAUUUGCAGAUACCUUUCAAGGUUUGACGGCGGCCCAAGUUUGACCUCAGCCAUGGAAAUACAGAAGCAUGUCUUCUGAAAUGUAUGCACGGGAAGUACCAGCCUGAACAAUUUUUUCAGAAGAUUUCGUAACCAAGUGACAUACAACAAAAAGGAAGCUAUAUCUUUACCGAAGCCCCCGUGCAGCCAAAUUAUGCCCCCCAGUUUUGGUCCAGAGUAAUAUUAGAAGUUUUUCUUGUGUCACUUUUGUAUUCCUCAAAAAAUGAGGCGACUUUCAAAAUCACUAUUGUAAUUGAUCAUAUUAUUAAAUUUUAAUCAAAUAGUGAUUUUAAAAGUAACUUCAUUUUUUUAGAGACAUAAAGUGAUACAUGAAGGAAUUUUAGAAUUACUUUUUGGUUAUUGUUCAAAUGGAAGUGAAAUGACUGCCUAUGACGCUCAAUUGAAGUGCUUGCCAAUGUGUUUUCGUUGAAGUGGUGGAAAAGCUUAUCUCAUCUGAGGGUGGAGCCGGUUUGUUCUAGCGAAGCAACUAAGCGAAUGAGAUAUCAUCAUCUUUUAUGAGCUUAAUUGUCACAGAGGGAAUUGAAAUAGAUUGUCGAUUAUUUUAAUCUAUUUCAAUUCCUUUUUUGGCAAUUGAGUUCAUAAAAGGUGAUAGUAUCUCCUUCACUUAGCUACUUCGCUUGAGCAAACCGGCUCCACCCUCUGGUGAGAAAAGCAUUUCCACCACUUCGUGCUAAACAUUUGUAUUGCUCUAUUGAAGUUGCAAAAUCAUAUAGGAAUGAUAAUUCCCAUUCCCUCGAUUGAUUUUAAAUAAAUGAAAGGUUUUAUUCUUCUUUC